AACGUAGGUCCCGAGCGUUAUCCGGAUUUACUGGGCGUAAAGCGUGUUCAGGCGGUCUAGCAAGUCGGGCAUGAAAUCUCUCGGCUCAACCGGGAGGGGUUGUCCGAUACUGCUGGGCUUGAGGGCAGCAGAGGGUGGUGGAAUUCCGUGGUGUAGCGGUGAAAUGCGCAGAUAUCAGGAGGAACACCGGUGGCGAAGGCGGUUCUCUGGGCAUUACCUGACGCUGAGGAGCGAAAGUGUGGGGAGCGAACAGG
rnacentral:rRNA from 1 species